UACGUAGGGUGCAAGCAUUAUCCGGAGUGACUGGGCGUAAAGAGUUGCGUAGGUGGUUUGUUAAGUGAAUGGUGAAAUCUGGGGGCUCAACCUCACAGACUAUUAUUCAAACUGACAAACUCGAGAAUGGUAGAGGUAACUGGAAUUUCUUGUGUAGGAGUGAAAUCCGUAGAUAUAAGAAGGAACACCAAUGGCGUAGGCAGGUUACUGGACCAUUUCUGACACUGAGGCACGAAAGCGUGGGGAGCGAACGGG
rnacentral:rRNA from 1 species